GAAUCGUGCUGUAUUACUUCCAGAGCAAAGGUAUAUCAAGGAAGGAACCGGUUGAUGUUAUGGACUGAUGGAUAGCGGCAUGGCAUGGUUCAAGGUGCUGAUGGGAAAUGACUUUCCUAAUUCACGCUAUUCAUGUAAAAGCUUGAAUCCAGCCGGGUUUUCAUAACUUCCUGUUCAGCCAUGUCAUGCCGCUCCAUCGACACGUGUGCUUGAAUUUGAUGUCCAGUAAUUACAGUCUACAAAAAACAUUUCAUCCCACGCAUUUAGUGUUUGAAAUGUGUUGAUGUGUUGACACUCAAAGUUAUAAUUUGAUGCUCUACGUCUGAUUACAACAAACUUUCAAAUUGUUGUAAAAAUAAACAGUUGUAAUUUGGAACAUUACUCAAUACUUAAAAUUAUUUUAUAAAAUAUUUAUCAGUAUUAACAAUGAUUAUUUGAGCUAAAUGAUUAAAAUGGUACCUUUUUAUAUAUUCUAAUGCUUAAAUGAAUUUGCAAGGAUGCGACCCGACAUUUUUGUGGUAUGACAUUGACAAACGGGUACAGGUUUCCAAUUUUUCCCACUGGGUUUUAUUUGGUUUUUCCUGGGCGAGUCGACCACAAUUUGCAAGUUUCAUGGUAUAGGAAAUCAAAAAUGUUUUUAUUUUACUGUUUUCACAUACCUAACUUUAUUGAUCAUAUCUGAAAACUAGAAUAUAUCUUUCAUAAUGCAAAUACGUUUUAAUAAUUGAUACAUUAGUGUGUUAAAUCCAGUCGUGACUUUAUAUAGUAUUACUGUAACUUCUCCAAGUCAAAUUGUAUUCAAGACUUUUCAUUUUCAUUGCAAAUAUCUCAUUGAUACGAGAUUUAAUGGGAGCAAUUUGCCCCGAUUUCUCUUUAGCUUUGUUAUUGUUUUACUCUUGUAAAAUGCCACGCCGCUUUAUAUUCUUAAUCGUUGACCUCUUAGCGGCAAGUCCAAGCAGAGUUUAGCAUUUUCAGAGCUUAUUAUCAUAGUUUACAGCACUUUGCGUUGCUAUGUAGCUUUCCAUGCAUUUAGCUGGGAGCUGUCUUUCAUAUUUUUCUCAUUCAUUUCAUAUUUUUUGACGAUGAUAUUUGUUUUCAUCAAAAUGCACAAUAAAGUCACGGCCUUAUUCCAAUCA